ACGGCAAUAAUAUAAUUAUUAUGCUCGAUUUCGGCUCGAAAGAUGAGGUACACCUCUUGCCAUA
rnacentral:tRNA from 1 species